UAGCAAUUUUGAGAGAUAGCACUGAACAUUGGAUGGACAACAUGAAAUGACUAAUGCCACACAAGGAAUCCAUGACACAAUCAGGACUAGAAUCCAAGAAUUAGUGGCACCCAAGUCCACGCUCAUUCUGCUAGACCACACAGUCUCCCAAGUAAAAGAGAAGUUAUCAGAACCACAGCUUGGGUGUUCCCUUCUUCAGCAGUUUGCAUUUUUCUAAAUAUACCAAUUCAGAUUACCACUGCUCAUUAAAUACACUCAUAUAUCUACUUUCAACCUUUUUUUCUUUGGAAGAAUACAGAAAGCAACUAAGAACAUCAUCUGGCCCAACCAGCCUGAACAAAGAAUGCAGG